UACGGAGGGUGCGAGCGUUACCCGGAUUUACUGGGCGUAAAGGGCGUGUAGGCGGUUUUCUAAGUCCGGGGCUAAAGACCAGGGCUCAACCCUGGGUUUGCCUUGGAUACUGGAAAGCUCGACGGCUGGAGGGGGCAGCGGAAUUUCCGGAGUAGCGGUGAAAUGCGCAGAUACCGGAAGGAACGCCAAUAGCGAAGGCA
rnacentral:rRNA from 1 species